rnacentral:rRNA from 1 species
GGCCUACCAUGGUGGUGACGGGUAACGGAGAAUUAGAGUGUUCAAAGCAGGCGUAACCUGGCCUUGAAUACUGUAGCAUGGGAUAAUAAAAGAAGACGAGAGUCUUAUUUUGUUGGUUUCUAGGGCUUUUGUAAUGAUUAAUAGGGAUAGUUGGGGUGGUUCAUACUCCGUCGCUAGAGGUGAAAUUCUUGGACCGACGGAAGAUGCACUAGUGCGAAAGCAUUCCACAAGGAUGUUUUCAUUAAUCAAGAACGAAAGUUAGGGGAUCGAAGACGAUCAGAUACCGUCGUAGUCUUAACCAUAAACUAUGCCGACUAGGGAUCGGAUGAUGUUAUUUUUAAUGACUCAUUCGGCGCCUUACG